GGGCGGGGGGCGGAAGAGGGCACGCUCCCCGCCAGUUUUGUGACGUCACAGAGGUCAGACGUUUCCCUUCCAUUUGGCGCGGCUUGCCUAUUGGUUCCACGCGUGCGCGCGCCCCGUGACCACGCCCUGUGGCUGGUGAAGGCACUGGAAUCUUCUCAUCAAGUUACAUAACUACAAUAUUGAAAGAGGACCUUCUGCUUCAUCACACCCUUCCAUUAUGGAUACUUGUUUCAUAGAUCUCACAUCUGUUGUGUAAAACGGAGUGAUUUGAAUCAGCACUCACUGAGAAACUCCUGACCCUGGCUAUCAGCUGCCAGUUCUGAGCUCAGCUUGGUGAUUCUGCUGUGGGUCAUACCUGGCCUCAGCUGGGUAGCUUCAGGCAGUGGGUGGGUCAGCCAGAAGCAGGCUGAUCUUGGAGGGCUUCAUCCACAUGCCUGGUAGUUGACCUCCAGUGCAGAGAAAGUAUCUACAUCAUCGGUACGCGAUGCCAGGCUUUUCACUGACUGCUGGGUUCCAGAAACAGAAAAGAUGGCAACACCCAAUGAGCACAGUUUUCCAAGGCCACUGUUUGUGCCGUGUUUGCUAAAGCAAUGCACAUGAAGAAACUCACAUGCCAGGAGGUAAAGUGCCAUGAUCAUCUCUUGGUGAGAGGGAUGAUAAUUUAUUAAUAAAUUGAAGCAUAUA